CGCUAGCUACAGGCUUAACACGUGCAAGUCGAGGGGCAGCGGGUUGAAAGCUUGCUUUCAAUGCCGGCGACCGGCGCACGGGUGCGUAACGCGUAUCAAACCUGCCUCAUACUCGGGGAUAGCCUUGCGAAAGUAAGAUUAAUACCCGAUGUUGUUGCUUUCUCGCAUGGGAGAGUAACCAAAGAUUUAUCGGUAUGAGAUGGUGAUGCGUCCGAUUAGGUAGUAGGCGGGGUAACGGCCCACCUAGCCUUCGAUCGGUAGGGGUUCUGAGAGGAAGGUCCCCCACACUGGAACUGAGACACGGUCCAGACUCCCACGGGAGGCAGCAGUGAGGAAUAUUGGUCAAUGGGCGAGAGCCUGAACCAGCCAAGUAGCGUGCAGGAUGACGGCCCUCCGGGUUGUAAACUGCUUUUAGUUGGGAAUAAAAAAAGGGACUUGUCCCUUCUUGUAUGUACCUUCAGAAAAAGGACCGGCUAAUUCCGUGCCAGCAGCCGCGGUAAUACGGAAGGUCCAGGCGUUAUCCGGAUUUAUUGGGUUUAAAGGGAGCGUAGGCGGAUUGUUAAGUCAGCGGUUAAAGGGUGUGGCUCAACCAUACAUUGCCGUUGAAACUGGCGAUCUUGAGUGCAGACAGGGAUGCCGGAAUUCGUGGUGUAGCGGUGAAAUGCUUAGAUAUCACGAAGAACUCCGAUCGCGAAGGCAGGUGUCCGGGCUGCAACUGACGCUGAGGCUCGAAAGUGUGGGUAUCAAACAGGAUUAGAUACCCUGGUAGUCCACACAGUAAACGAUGUAUACUCGCGGUUUGCGAUAGACAGUAAGCCGCCAAGCGAAAGCAUUAAGUAUACC
rnacentral:rRNA from 1 species